ACACCGGCAGCCCAAGUGGUGGCCAUUUUUAUUGGGCCUAAAGCGUUCGUAGCCGGCCUGAUAAGUCUCUGGUGAAAUCCCGCAGCUUAACUGUGGGAAUUGCUGGAGAUACUCUCAGGCUUGAGGUCGGGAGAGGUUAGAGGUACUCCCAGGGUAGGGGAGAAAUCCUAUAAUCCUGGGAGGUCCACCUGUGGCGAAGGCGGUGAACGAGAACGAACCUGACGGGGAAUAACGAUAGCCAGGGGCGCGAACCGGAUUAGAUACCCGGGUAGUCCUGGCCGUAAACGAUGUGGACUUGGUGUUGGGAUGGCCUCGAGCUGCCCCAGUGCCGAAGGGAAGCUUUUAAGUCCUCCGCCUGGGAAGUUCGGUCGCAAGACUGAAACUUAAAGGAAUUGGCGGUG
rnacentral:rRNA from 1 species